UACGGAGGGAGCUAGCGUUGUUCGGAAUUACUGGGCGUAAAGCGCACUAGGCGGCUUUGUAAGUUAGAGGUGAAAGCCUGGAGCUCAACUCCAGAAUUGCCUUUAAGACUGCAUCGCUUGAAUCCAGGAGAGGUGAGUGGAAUUCCGAGUGUAGAGGUGAAAUUCGUAGAUAUUCGCAAGAACACCAGUGGCGAAGGCGGCUCACUGGUCCGGUACUGACGCUGAGGUGCGAAAGCGUGGGGAGCAAACAGG
rnacentral:rRNA from 1 species